rnacentral:lncRNA from 1 species
UUUGUGGAGUUUGGGUUUUCGGGAGAGAGGAUGACGAGGUUGAGAGGUUUAGUUUUGAGAAAAGUGAGAUGAAGAGAGAACGAUUCUGUUACGAUAUCCCAUUUUUUCUUUUUUUGAUUUAUUUUAAAUAGAAUAAGUCUUCUUGAAACCAUUAAAGUUUUCAUUUAAAAUUCCUAAGUUUAGUUAAUAAUUUUUUUCCUCUUUUUCAAUUUAUAUUCCCUUUGAAGAACCCAACAGCCAGGCGGCUAGGGUAUCUUUCCUUGUUUUCUCCCUUUUGGUAGUCCAACAGAUUCCUUAUUAUUAGUUUUUUUUUAUUUUGUUAUUUUAAUUCUGAUUUUUAAUCUAUUUUAGUUUAUUUAUCCAAAGUAGCAUCCAAAUAAUAAAUAAUCAUGAGUGGUCUGGUGGAGAAGGGUAGUAUCAUAGUCUUGAGUGGGGUGGGUUCAAUACCCGGGUAUGUUGCCUUGGUUUUCCAACACUUUGAUUUUUUUCCCAUAUUUUCUUUAAUUCUCACAUUUAAUUAUCUAGCCUUAUCAUUUAACUAACAUGUUUCUAUCAUUUAUUCAUUUUUUUAUUAUUUUAUUUUUAAUAUGACUUAUGUGAUUAUUCAUUUUUUUGGGAUUUAUGUGAAUUAUUAUAUUUGUGUUUGUUCAUUCAUUUGUACAAAUUAUUUGCCUUUAUGUGUGAGUUACGUUACAAUCAUGAUAAAUCAUCACAAUCUCAUUG